GACGAACGCUGGCGGCGCGCUUAACACAUGCAAGUCGAGCGAGAACCGGUCCUUCGGGACCGGGGAAAGCGGCGAACGGGUGAGUAACACGUGAGUAAUCCACCCUCGGCACCGGGAUAGCCCGGGGAAACUCGGAUUAAUACCGGAUGGCCCAACAGCUCUUCGGGGCGGUUGGAAAAGGUAGCUUCGGCCUCUGGCCGAGGACGAGCUCGCGGCGGAUUAGCUUGUUGGUGGGGUAAUGGCCUACCAAGGCGACGAUCCGUAGCUGGCCUGAGAGGACGAUCGGCCACACUGGGACUGAGACACGGCCCAGACUCCUACGGGAGGCAGCAGUGGGGAAUCUUGCGCAAUGGGCGAAAGCCUGACGCAGCGACGCCGCGUGAGGGAAGAAGGCUUUCGGGUUGUAAACCUCUUUCAGGAGGGACGAAGCCACUCGGGUGAAUAGCCCAGAGGGUGACGGUACCUCCAGAAGAAGCCCCGGCUAACUACGUGCCAGCAGCAGCCGCAGUAA
rnacentral:rRNA from 1 species